CACAACAAACCAGUUCACAUACAAGGCAUCCCUAACUUUUACAUAAAUUACUAUCUUAAACUGCAUAAAGAAAUAACACAAAUAAACCACUUACAUGUGACCCUUGCAUAAAUUAGAAAACAACUUCCACUCGUUUGGACAAUAGUUGGCAGAAAGUCCCAGUUACAAUCACACACCAAAUACUCAUAUACUUACUUUUAGAAGUAUAGUCUAGGUGGAUAGAUACACCACUAGAUAUACAAUAGAGGGAUAGAAUAAGAGAUAUAAGGUUUGCCGAGAUGAGGUUAUAGAGAUGAGGUACAAAGCUGAGGUGCAGAGAUGAGGUGUAGAGAUGAGGUGAAUAGAUGAGCAGAAG
rnacentral:lncRNA from 1 species